UUUGCUUCUCGGCCUUUUGGCUAAGAUCAAGUGUAGUAUCUGUUCUUAUCAGUUUAAUAUCUGAUACGUCCUCGAUGAGAGGACUUUAUAUUAAAUGAGUUUGGGGACUGGGAAAUGUACUAGGACCUUACGCCAUCCUCUUCAUGCAUGAAGCUGGCUAUUACUGUGUUUCUAGAAUAGUGUGAAAAGA
ensembl:snRNA U2 U2 spliceosomal RNA